GUGUCAGCAGCCGCGGUAAUACAGAGGGUGCAAGCGUUAAUCGGAAUUACUGGGCGUAAAGGGUGCGUAGGUGGCUGAGUAAGUUGGAUGUGAAAUGCCUGGGCUUAACCUGGGACCUGCAUACAAAACUGCUCGGCUAGAGUAGGGUAGAGGGAAGUGGAAUUUCCGGUGUAGCGGUGAAAUGCGUAGAUAUCGGAAGGAACACCAGUGGCGAAGGCGGCUUCCUGGACCAUUACUGACACUGAGGCACGAAAGCGUGGGGAGCAAACAGGAUUAGAUACCCCGGUAGUCC
rnacentral:rRNA from 1 species